UUAAACACAUAAUUUUACACCCGAAUUGCAUUGUUUCAUUUUCCGAACUAAUUAUUAUAACCGAGGAAAAAAGCCCGGUGUGCGCCGAGUUCGGGUGAUCCUGCGGAUUUUAGUGAAGUCAAACAACUGAUAACAGCAGUGAGUUGCGAGGGUCCUACGCGAGACAGCAGCACUACUAUCUGCUCACGAAUUUUUACAUUGGCUCUUAUGGGAGUCCAGGGUCCUACAGAACUGGUCCCUACGACCCUACCAAGGUACACUCUACUACAGGUAUGGACAGAAUGGAAUUUUAGAAAGUCGUCAAACGCGUAGAUUUAACAGCAUCGAGAGUACGACUGCGAAGACCUGCGCGGCAAAUGGACGGUACGACUUCAUACGUCACUCGAUCGCCGAUUUUCUCAGCGCUGCCACUUCGGCACCCCUUUUGUCCAUACCUGUAGUAGAGUGUACCUUGCGACCCUACCUGUGUGGAUUGGUCUUGCUGCGAACGUUCCUUUUUCAUACUUUUGCCAGCAUUUUGCUUUUAGUAGACUCAUACGUUCCUUAUCAAAUGUAGACCUGGUGCUAAUCGUUGUAGUAUGAAUUGAUCGAGUUUACACAACGAUGCUAUCUAUGUGUCUGGCUUCAAAAACUGAAAGUACCAACAAAGCGCAUGGUAUCGCAUCUACCGGACAAAUCUUACCAUCUUAGUUUGUUCUAUUCAAUGAAGGAGAUGUCAGUUGGUAGUCGAUGUAUCGUUAAUGGUCACGCUGCUACUUAAGUGUCUCCACAAAUGAAGUAAGUAGGUUUAAUUUUCUUUUUUUUUAGGGUUGCUUCCGAGAAACAUUUUAUCUUUACCUAAUUAAUAUAACUUUACUUUGCGUCUUAUGGCACAAUACAUCCUUAUAAAACACUCCCACUUGUUACAGAAACAUCUCACAAAAAUUAUGAUUUUCUCUUUUAUCAGUCAAAAUUAGUAUCUAAAUCAACUAAGAGCUGUAAUUAGCAUUAAAAUCACCCAAAGAACGACAUAAACAUUUUUUAAAUUUUAGCACUGAAUAAGUAUCAAGCA
rnacentral:lncRNA from 1 species